rnacentral:rRNA from 1 species
UUGGAGGGCAAGUCUGGUGCCAGCAGCCGCGGUAAUUCCAGCUCCAAUAGCGUAUAUUAAAGUUGUUGCAGUUAAAAAGCUCGUAGUUGAAUUUCGGGGUUAGUAGGUUGGUCAUGCCUCUGGUAUGCACUGGUCUCACUGAUUCCUCCUUCCUGAUGAGCCGUAAUGCCAUUAAUUUGGUGUUGCGGGGAAUUUGGACUGUUACUUUGAAAAAAUUAGAGUGUUUAAAGCAAGCUAACGCUUGAAUACAUUAGCAUGGAAUAAUGAAAUAGGACGUUCGAUCCUAUUUUGUUGGUUUCUAGGAUUGACGUAAUGAUUAAUAGGGAUAGUUGGGGGCAUUAGUAUUCAAUUGUCAGAGGUGAAAUUCUUGGAUUUAUUGAAGACUAACUACUGCGAAAGCAUUUGCCAAGGAUGUUUUCAUUAAUCAAGAACGAAAGUUAGGGGAUCGAGGACGAUCAGAUACCGUCGUAGUCUUAACCAUAAACUAUGCCGACUAGGGAUCGGAUGAUGUUAAUUUUUUAAUGGCUCAUUCGGCGCCUUACGGGAAAC